AAUGUAGGCGGUUUUGCAAGUCAGAGGUGAAAUCCCUCAGCUUAACUGAGGAAGUGCCUUUGAAACUGCAUAACUAGAGGACAGGAGAGGAAAGUGGAAUUCCCGGUGUAGCGGUGGAAUGCGUAGAUAUCGGGAGGAACACCAGAGGCGAAGGCGGCUUUCUGGACUGAUCCUGACGCUGAGAUUCGAAAGCUUAGGGGAGCAAACA
rnacentral:rRNA from 1 species